UUGACAGUCCUCAAAGACUGAAAUCCCCUUUUAAUCCUCAAGACAGGUACAGCAUGGGCAGAGGCAGUGUAAGAUCCCCAUAACUCACCCCCUUCCUCCAUCUCUCCACACAACAAUAUCUCUGAAGCCUGCCCCAGGAAGAAACACCUCUGAAAUGAAAGUAGAAUUCACGCUCAUUCAGUUCUUUGCCUCA
rnacentral:sRNA from 1 species